rnacentral:rRNA from 1 species
AUUGAACGCUGGCGGCAGGCCUAACACAUGCAAGUCGAACGAGUGGCGGACGGGUGAGUAAUGUCUGGGAAACUGCCUGAUGGAGGGGGAUAACUACUGGAAACGGUAGCUAAUACCGCAUACCAUCAGAUGAGCCCAGAUGGGAUUAGCUAGUUGGUGGGGUAACGGCUCACCAAGGCGACGAUCCCUAGCUGGUCUGAGAGGAUGACCAGCCACACUGGGACUGAGACACGGCCCAGACUCCUACGGGAGGCAGCAGGGGGGAAUAUUGCACAAUGGGCGCAAGCCUGAUGCAGCCAUGCCGCGUGUAUGAAGAAGGCCUUAGGGUUGUAAAGUACGUUCAGCGGGGAGGCGUUACCCGCAGAAGAAGCACCGGCUAACUCCGUGCCAGCAGCCGCGGUAAUAC